rnacentral:rRNA from 1 species
CCUACGGGAGGCAGCAGUGGGGAAUAUUGCACAAUGGGGGAAACCCUGAUGCAGCGACGCCGCGUGAGUGAAGAAGUAUCUCGGUAUGUAAAGCUCUAUCAGCAGGGGAGAAAAUGACGGUACCUGACUAAUAAGCCCCGGCUAACUACGUGCCAGCAGCCGCGGUAAUACGUAGGGGGCAAGCGUUAUCCGGAUUUACUGGGUGUAAAGGGAGCGUAGACGGCAUAACAAGUCUGGUGUGAAAUCCCGGGGCUUAACCCCGGAACUGCUUUGGAAACUGUUGGGCUGGAGUGUCGGUGGGGCAAGCGGAAUGCCUAGUGUAGCGGUGAAAUGCGUAGAUAUUAGGAGGAACACCGGUGGCGAAGGCGGCUUGCUGGACCAUGACUGACGUUGAGGCUCGAAAGCGUGGGGAGCAAACAGGAUUAGAUACCCUUGUAGUC